UACGUAGGGUGCAAGCGUUUGUCCGGAAUUAUUUGGGCGUAAAGAGCUCGUAGGCGGUCUGUCGCGUCGGCUGUGAAAACCCGGGGCUCAACCCCGGGCCUGCAGUCGAUACGGGCAGACUAGAGUGUGGUAGGGGAGACUGGAAUUCCUGGUGUAGCGGUGAAAUGCGCAGAUAUCAGGAGGAACACCGGUGGCGAAGGCGGGUCUCUGGGCCGAUACUGACGCUGAGGAGCGAAAGCGUGGGGAGCGAACAGG
rnacentral:rRNA from 1 species